rnacentral:rRNA from 1 species
UACGAAGGGGGCUAGCGUUGUUCGGAAUCACCGGGCGUAAAGCGCACGUAGGCGGAUGUGUCAGUCAGGGGUGAAAUCUCGGAGCUCAACUUCGGAACUGCCUUUGAUACAGCACGUCUUGAGUCCGAUAGAGGUGGGUGGAAUUCCUAGUGUAGAGGUGAAAUUCGUAGAUAUUAGGAAGAACACCGGUGGCGAAGGCGGCCCACUGGAUCGGUACUGACGCUGAGGUGCGAAAGCGUGGGGAGCAAACAGG